rnacentral:rRNA from 1 species
GACGAACGCUGGCGGCGUGCUUAACACAUGCAAGUCGUACGGUAAGGCCCUUUCGGGGGUACACGAGUGGCGAACGGGUGAGUAACACGUGAGUAACCUGCCCACAACUUUGGGAUAACGCUAGGAAACUGGUGCUAAUACUGGAUAUGUUCUCCUGCUGCAUGGUGGGGGUUGGAAAGCUCCGGCGGUUGUGGAUGGACUCGCGGCCUAUCAGCUUGUUGGUGGGGUAGUGGCCUACCAAGGCGGCGACGGGUAGCCGGCCUGAGAGGGUGACCGGCCACAUUGGGACGGAGAUACGGCCCAGACGCCUAAGGGGGGCAGCAGGGGGGAAUAUUGCACAAUGGGCGCAAGCCUGAUGCAGCAACGCCGCGUGCGGGAUGACGGCCUUCGGGUUGUAAACCGCUUUCAGCAGGGACGAAGCUUUUUGUGACGGUACCUGCAGAAGAAGCACCGGCUAACUACGUG